rnacentral:rRNA from 2 species
UGUGAACUCGAAGAGUAGGGCGGGACACGUGGUAUCCUGUCUGAAUAUGGGGGGACCAUCCUCCAAGGCUAAAUACUCCUGACUGACCGAUAGUGAACCAGUACCGUGAGGGAAAGGCGAAAAGAACCCCGGCGAGGGGAGUGAAAAAGAACCUGAAACCGUGUACGUACAAGCAGUGGGAGCCUCUUUAUGGGGUGACUGCGUACCUUUUGUAUAAUGGGUCAGCGACUUAUAUUCUGUAGCAAGGUUAACCGUAUAGGGGAGCCGAAGGGAAACCGAGUCUUAACUGGGCGUUAAGUUGCAGGGUAUAGACCCGAAACCCGGUGAUCUAGCCAUGGGCAGGUUGAAGGUUGGGUAACACUAACUGGAGGACCGAACCGACUAAUGUUGAAAAAUUAGCGGAUGACCUGUGGCUGGGGGUGAAAGGCCAAUCAAACCGGGAGAUAGCUGGUUCUCCCCGAAAGCUAUUUAGGUAGCGCCUCGUGAACUCAUCUUCGGGGGUAGAGCACUGUUUCGGCUAGGGGGCCAUCCCGGCUUACCAACCCGAUGCAAACUACGAAUACCGAAGAAUGUUAUCACGGGAGACACACGGCGGGUGCUAACGUCCGUCGUGAAGAGGGAAACAACCCAGACCGCCAGCUAAGGUCCCAAAGUCAUGGUUAAGUGGGAAACGAUGUGGGAAGGCACAGACAGCCAGGAUGUUGGCUUAGAAGCAGCCAUCAUUUAAAGAAAGCGUAAUAGCUCACUGGUCGAGUCGGCCUGCGCGGAAGAUGUAACGGGGCUAAACCAUGCACCGAAGCUGCGGCAGCGACACUAUGUGUUGUUGGGUAGGGGAGCGUUCUGUAAGCCGUUGAAGGUGUGCUGUGAGGCAUGCUGGAGGUAUCAGAAGUGCGAAUGCUGACAUAAGUAACGAUAAAGCGGGUGAAAAGCCCGCUCGCCGGAAGACCAAGGGUUCCUGUCCAACGUUAAUCGGGGCAGGGUGAGUCGACCCCUAAGGCGAGGCCGAAAGGCGUAGUCGAUGGGAAACAGGUUAAUAUUCCUGUACUUGGUGUUACUGCGAAGGGGGGACGGAGAAGGCUAUGUCAGCCGGGCGACGGUUGUCCCGGUUUAAGCAUGUAGGCGGAGGUUCCAGGUAAAUCCGGUACCUUUUAACGCUGAGGUGUGAUGACGAGGCACUACGGUGCUGAAGUGAUAAAUGCCCUGCUUCCAGGAAAAGCCUCUAAGCAUCAGGUAACACGAAAUCGUACCCCAAACCGACACAGGUGGUCAGGUAGAGAAUACCAAGGCGCUUGAGAGAACUCGGGUGAAGGAACUAGGCAAAAUGGUGCCGUAACUUCGGGAGAAGGCACGCUGAUAUGUAGGUGAAGUCCCUGCGGACGGAGCUGAAAUCAGUCGAAGAUACCAGCUGGCUGCAACUGUUUAUUAAAAACACAGCACUGUGCAAACACGAAAGUGGACGUAUACGGUGUGACGCCUGCCCGGUGCCGGAAGGUUAAUUGAUGGGGUUAGCGGCAACGCGAAGCUCUUGAUCGAAGCCCCGGUAAACGGCGGCCGUAACUAUAACGGUCCUAAGGUAGCGAAAUUCCUUGUCGGGUAAGUUCCGACCUGCACGAAUGGCGUAAUGAUGGCCAGGCUGUCUCCACCCGAGACUCAGUGAAAUUGAACUCGCUGUGAAGAUGCAGUGUACCCGCGGCAAGACGGAAAGACCCCGUGAACCUUUACUAUAGCUUGACACUGAACACUGGUCCUUGAUGUGUAGGAUAGGUGGGAGGCUUUGAAGCGUGGACGCCAGUCUGCGUGGAGCCAUCCUUGAAAUACCACCCUUUAAUGGCUGGUGUUCUAACGUAGACCCGUGAUCCGGGUUGCGGACAGUGUCUGGUGGGUAGUUUGACUGGGGCGGUCUCCUCCCAAAGAGUAACGGAGGAGCACGAAGGUUGGCUAAUCCUGGUCGGACAUCAGGAGGUUAGUGCAAUGGCAUAAGCCAGCUUGACUGCGAGCGUGACGGCGCGAGCAGGUGCGAAAGCAGGUCAUAGUGAUCCGGUGGUUCUGAAUGGAAGGGCCAUCGCUCAACGGAUAAAAGGUACUCCGGGGAUAACAGGCUGAUACCGCCCAAGAGUUCAUAUCGACGGCGGUGUUUGGCACCUCGAUGUCGGCUCAUCACAUCCUGGGGCUGAAGUAGGUCCCAAGGGUAUGGCUGUUCGCCAUUUAAAGUGGUACGCGAGCUGGGUUUAGAACGUCGUGAGACAGUUCGGUCCCUAUCUGCCGUGGGCGCUGGAGAAUUGAGGGGGGCUGCUCCUAGUACGAGAGGACCGGAGUGGACGCAUCACUGGUGUUCGGGUUGUCAUGCCAAUGGCACUGCCCGGUAGCUAAAUGCGGAAGAGAUAAGUGCUGAAAGCAUCUAAGCACGAAACUUGCCCCGAGAUGAGUUCUCCCUGAGACUUUAAGUCUCCUGAAGGAACGUUGAAGACGACGACGUUGAUAGGUCGGGUGUGUAAGCGCAGCGAUGCGUUGAGCUAACCGAUACUAAUGAACCGUGAGGCUUAACCUUACAACGCCGAAG